rnacentral:rRNA from 1 species
CCUACGGGAGGCAGCAGUGGGGAAUAUUGCGCAAUGGGCGAAAGCCUGACGCAGUGACGCCGCGUGAGGGAUGAAGGUCUUCGGAUCGUAAACCUCUGUCAGCAGGGAAGAACGGUCACUGUGCUAAUCAGCAGUGAAUUGACGGUACCUGCAAAGGAAGCACCGGCUAACUCCGUGCCAGCAGCCGCGGUAAUACGGAGGGUGCGAGCGUUAAUCGGAAUUACUGGGCGUAAAGCGCUCGUAGGCGGUAUGUCAAGUCAAGAGUGAAAUCCCCGAGCUCAACGUGGGAACUGCCUUUGAAACUAGAAAACUGGAGUAUGUGAGAGGAUAGUAGAAUUCCAGGUGUAGGAGUGAAAUGCGUAGAUAUCUGGAGGAACAUCAGUGGCGAAGGCGACAAUCUGGCACAUAACUGACGCUGAGGAGCGAAAGCGUGGGUAGCAAACAGGAUUAGAUACCCCAGUAGUC